UACCUACGGGAGGCAGCAGUGGGGAAUAUUGCACAAUGGGGGAAACCCUGAUGCAGCAACGCCGCGUGAGUGAUGACGGCCUUCGGGUUGUAAAGCUCUGUCUUCAGGGACGAUAAUGACGGUACCUGACCAAGAAGCCCCGGCUAAAUACGUGCCAGCAGCCGCGGUAAUACGUAUGGGGCAAGCGUUAUCCGGAUUUACUGGGUGUAAAGGGAGCGUAGGCGGCAGGGCAAGCCUGAUGUGAAAGCCCGGGGCUCAACCCCGGGACUGCAUUGGGAACUGCCCCGCUCGAGUGCCGGAGGGGC
rnacentral:rRNA from 1 species